CACACCAGAUCCUUCGCCCUCGCAGCCGCCGCCGAUCCCCUCACUCAAACGCCGCCGCCCGUCGUUGCCGCCCCCGCCACCUUCCGUCGCGGCUCCUUCGCCCUCACAGCCGUCGCCGAUCCCCUCCCUCAAACGCCGCCGCCCGUCGCUGCCGCCCCAGCCACCUCCCGUCGCGGGCAGGCGGGAGGAGCCCUGCCCGGCCAUGGCGACACAACCGGCGGCCUCCUCCUCCCCCUCACCUUCUCUCCCUCUCCCAAGGGAGGGAAGGAAAUGGAAGGGAUCUGAUUGGAGCGGUGGAUCUGCGCCCUUGCCGUCUCUUCUUUUCUUCACCUAUUCCAGGAGGAGAUCGAAGUGGGAGGUAGACGAGCAGGAGCGCCGCGUCCGCGACAACGAUGAACGACGACCCAGGUUCUCCUCUCCCAUGGCAGGGACACCAACUGGUGGCGCAACGGACAGCGGGAGAUCGGCUGGUGGCACCGGAUGGCAGGAGGCCGCAAGACCGUGCGAGGAGCAGGUAGCCGGAGGAUGUCGCCGGUGGAAAUCUGGCAAGUGGCAGCGGCAUAGAGGGCUUAUGGUUUGAUGUUGGUCUUUUUACCUAUAGCACUGAAUUUCAUGUAUAGGUUGUGCUGAUCCUAAGAUUGCCAAAAACUGCUUCGUAAAAAUCACCCAGGUUUGCUUUUUAUUGUGAUUAUGCAAAUUGCUCGAAACCUGAGUUGUCCUAUUUUGUUGAUGAAGGAAUUGAAAUCUGAAGACAUGGUGAUUUUUACCCAAUGGGUUAUGCCCUUGAGCACGAAGAGCAUUUGAACUCUGAGGUUCAGGACCACGCAUGCUUCUCACAUUUAUUGAGACAGAGAGUAUUAAUCAAAAGCGGUUCAAGUUUCCACAAUGAGCUAUACAUCAUCUAAACUUACAUGGAUAUACCAGGUCUGCCUUUCCCUACAAUUUAAGCCUUUGUUUUGGCAGGUAUCAGUCACCUGGUGCUAAACUUGGUGCUUAAUGAUCAACUAGAACAAAGUUUCAUAGCCUUCCAGAUUUGUCAAAUCUACAAUAACAGGAUAAUUCCUGUUAGACAUGUUAUUCUACUGGUACAUGUCAUAUAACAAAAUUCUUGUAUUUUGGAAGGAGAAAACAUUGAGUGGAGCAAUUAUGCAAUUCAAGUGGCAUGGUCAUCAGAGGUUUUGUUUUUUCUUAAUCGUGACAUGUGUUAAUAUUGUGCAAAUCAGAAUAUCAUUUUUUAGGUUUGUAAAUAAAAUUAACCUGAAUAAAGUAUUUUAAACUUAGUGAGCAUAAUAGUGUUUUGUAGUGUGAGGAUAAUAAGGUGAAGUGAGGCUGCUGCUCGCCGGUGGCUCGCCGGCCAUCCGAGAGCCGGAAUUGCGGCCCCACGCGAGGGAAAGAUCAGCGUUGCUGCAACCACGACAGGACACCCACCAUGCGCGUACCAUACAGGCAGCAUCAGCCUCAGGCUUCACCUUGGAUGACAUGACGAUUAUGAAAUAUUCAGUCAUCCCCCUUGGGUCUACGUGUUGGACACUUGGACCUACUCAUGUGUUUGAGAUGAUUGUGCAGAAAAGCUGAAAAAGGGAUAAAAUUCUAUGUGAGAGAUGACCGCUAAAGGAGUGCGACGCCACCAUCCCGUGUCAUGAACCAUACCAAGAAUGGCGGGUUAUGGAUAGAGUUCAUUUGAUCCAUCUGAUAAAAAUACCUAUUGGGGAAUAAGCAUGAAAAGUAAGCAACCACUCUUUCCGCAGUGGAGUCCGGCCGUGAUGAUCAGAAGUUUAGGACCACACUGUAGUCAAGAAAAAGGAAUGAUCUUCGUAAGCUACACCCUUUCGAUCCCAAUCUUACCUUUUUUAAAUUAGUUUUGUUAGUGCUUCCAUUACUUUCUGUUAAAAUAUGCUUAAUGGGCUAGAGACUGUAUAUUUUCAGAAAGUUAUAGUGUGUGGUAUGUUUGCUGAACUUGUGAUGACGGUUCUUCAGGCAGGACUUUCGUCCCUAUAUUUUAACUUUGAACAUCAUUAUAUUUAGACAAAUGAUGUGUUUACUGAAUUAUCGUUGUUUAAUUUUUGAAGUUAUGCCUUUCGUAAUAUUGCAUUGUAGAUAGACAAAAAGAUAUAGGUAUUAAAUUUUGUGGCUCUAGCAUAAAUGUUUAUCACCACGGUGACAUUUAUUUUUCAAUUUAGAUAAGAAAAAAGAGAUAAGUAUUGAACAGAGAGUAGAGAGGAUAAGAGCAUUGUAGUUCAGCGUGGUUCAUGCCAAAGACUGUGAUACAUAUAAUUUCUUAGGAUAGUGCAAAUUCAUUGAUGAUGCAGCGGAAGUAACACAAGUUCUGCUAGAAUUUCUCUCACAUAACAUGGAUAGAGGUGAGUUUUGCAUAAUCCAUCUCAGUAACAAGCUUGCAUUGAGUUAUUCUUUUCAAGAAGCUUACCAUGCACAACUACAGGAUACUUGUAGUUCUCAGUGGCAAUUGAUAGCUACAUUCUUCAAUGGGAGACCUAGCAUGCCUUGAGUACAACAAUACAUGAUCUUCUGGCAACAAACUGUUCAUGAUUGACGCAUAAUAUGUCCUCUGUCCGCAUUUUAAUUAUUUAUAUUAAUAUUUCUGGUUAUCACUGCAGGAGUUGAAAUGGAUUUGAUGAGGGAAGUCUGCAAUGCAGACUGUGUUAAGUGUACCCGCUCCAGAUUUCAUUGACAGUAAAUGGUCCACUGCUAUCGGCAGGAGGAAUAUGCAUGUGUAGGUCGGGGAAGUCGUCGGCAUACAUAUAAGGAGAUGGAGGUGGAGGUGGCGGUGGAGGGAGACGGGCAUUCACUACUCGUCGGAGGGUGAGGGCAUGGAGGACAACCGGCACGACGAUUACCACGCCUUCCUCCCGUCGAAUCACUCAAGCACGACGUCCUGGUCCUCUCUAUCCAUUGGCCCCCUCCAACAUCUACCACGAUGACCACAUGUUGUUUGCGUAGCAGCAGCGGCGGCCAUCCAUGAUCUUCUUUUGUGCCGACCUGCUAGAAACAGGUUGGGCUAUAGACAACUAGAGAUUGGUCACCUGUCUAGCAGCUCAUUUCUGAAAACAAAGACCAGGUCUAUGUGUUGAAAAUCAUGAAGGAGGAUGUCAAAGUGUUUCUGCAGCGCAUCAGGCGGAAGAAAAAGCAACAUGAAGUUCCCGUCUACAUCAAACUGCUUUCACUUAUAUUCUGCCGAAUUUGUUCCAUCUAUAGGACUGUACAUGGAGAUUAUCUAUAAGGGUUAUGUCCCGUACAAGGAGAUUAUCUUAUAGGACAGGCAUAUCAGCCCCCAUUCAGACAUAGCAGAUAUUCAACAGAAGAAGUUCCUCCACUGCUACUGGCCAAACUCUAAGCAAAAAGACCUUCCACUUUCCUUGCUAAUGGUGAGCAACUCAAAGAUGGCUACAAGGUUACACUUAAUAUUUACUCUCUGAAUAACAUAUUAUUUAUUUGACCAAUACAUGUAUAAAUGCCUUGAGAGAACAUGUAUAUAUAGCUGCAUAUAUGUUAUAUCUGAACAAUGGCAGAUUUGACCAUUAAUUACAUGUAUAUACUUGCUAGGAGAGAACGUGUAUAGCUUUCAGUUAAGCUUUUCGAUCAUUAA